CACUCACUUCUUUUCUGGCUCAUACAUGCAUUCCACUCCAUGAGGGGAGCAGCGGCUGAGGAGGGAGCACACGCCAGCGUCUGCAGGUGUCCCACCCUGCAUCUCCUCUUCCUCCUCCUCCUCAUGGAUGCUUCAUGACGAGCCAAGAUGGAAGUGAGCAAGGUUGAGGUCGCGAUUGAGCGUCGUUAUUAAAAGUGUUUGCGGUGGGUCAAAGGUUGAAGACUGGUGAGUGGUGACCUCACAGAGAGGCCACAGUGACAUCUGACCCCUAAGCGGGCGUGCCGUUCAACCCUGGAGGAUACACCUCAACAAUGGCCAGGCACGUGCCUUGCCCUGGUCACCAUGGUAACAAAGGACCUUUCGGCACGAGGGGGCGGUGUUAGGCCGGGGAUAUCGGUCAUAGCUGUCCUUUCUUUGUGAUCUGCGUUAACCAUCUGCUGCCAAUUGACUCGGAUACGUCCUCGCCACCAUUGACGUGGCCGACUGGGUAAUCUCUGCAGGCAACUGUGAAGGUGCUUUUUAUUCUCACAAUCACCUGGAGAGAUUCUGCAGUUUGCCUCACAAUUGUGGCCUUAUCGUCGUCAUUAGGUGUUUCGAAUAUUUUGCCAACCUCAUAAGUAUUCAUUUUGACUCAAAGAGUUGUUAGAAAAUGAAGCGAUGCAUCAGCUUUGUUCAAAUGCUUCCAAAAAAAGGAUGAAAAUGGCCCAGAGGGUUAAACAUAGCUGCAUUUCCCUCCUCGAGGCUGCGUCUUCGCCUCCUCUUGUGUUAUCCCCACUGUCUCGUCCCGCCUCCGUCCACAUCUAUUCUGCCGUGUUUUGGUGAAAUCUCAGCUGGCAACUGUGAGUCGUUCACUUGCUCCUCUCACAAUGGCCUCUGGGAUUAUGCUAAACGCGGCGCCGCGGCCUCUCGCUCUCCCGCGCCCAUCGAGCGGCAUCAGCGACGCCCUUUCUGCGGCGAGAAGACCGCGGGCCCUCAAUGAAGAUGUCACUGCGAUUACACAAGAGCCUCUCACCAAGACCUGUCUGCUCUUCCUCACCACCCUCCUUCCCAUUUUCUGGGGUUACCCAAAAAAAGUCUUUUGAAGCGCAGCCUCUUUUCAUAAUGCAUGCCUCUCUCGGAUUUGCAUGCACUCACUUUGCAGAUGCUUGCGCUGCCAUCUUGACUUACAGUGAUGUGGACUGUACACUGGGGCCAAAUUUUCCCAUGGCCAUUAAGGUGCUACACACUUUAAAAGGUUUUCAUUUUUGCCAAUAAUUGCCUUAGCAUAGCAUUAGCAUAGAGGUGGAUAAAGGAGCCCCAAAAAUUAAUUCAGAGUAAAGUGUAGUGUAACAGUGGUUCUCAAACUUUAUGUACUACCUCAGAAAAAAACUAAACAUUUUGCAUUUUAUCUUUUAGCAAUUAGAAAAAAGUAUUUAAUGCAUUAUAUUAUGUCCAAUACAUUUUAAUUUGAUCAGUAUGCGCUCUACAAUUUCCUUUAUAGCACAAAAUAUGCCUUCGAACACGUUUUUUUUCAAUUAAAGUCCAAUGUCACUUGGUCCACCAGCAAGCCAGACUGAGUCCUACAGUUGGGCCUCACGCCUCGAGUUGAGAACCGGUUCGUUUUCUUCUCCUUACUCACUUGACGAUGAUGAGAUGAAGAAGAACUUUCUGAUGUGGAUGAUACUGCAUCAGGAACUGAUUGGCUCACUCUCCAAAUGCCAACAGUACCUGAUGCAUUGCCUUCAGCAUCGAAAGAAACGUCGCUAAUGGAUCACCCACCCAUGGAGCCACCCAUUUUUUUGCCCCCAGCUCUCAUUCUUGGAUGAGCAGGAAGUGACCUCAUGGCAGCAGAUGUUCUUGUAAACUUCCCAAAAGCUGAUGACACAUCACUGGCCUCGACCACCUGCUGACCACCCUUAGGAGAAGGUCAGCAUUUGCAUGACACAAGCCCCCUCCAAAGAUGAUGGAGGAAUAUUAACAAGAUCAAAUUAUAAUAAACAAAAAUGGGUCAAAUGUUUUGUUCUCGAAUAAACAAAACUCGUAUUUGCAAAAUAUAAAACUUGAAACUGAAAAUAAACGCGUUGAGCUUGAAACUUGAAAAAUGAAAAUAAAAUAUUUAAAAUAAAAAUACUUGUAUGGAAAGUUUUUUCGAGUUGAAAAUAGCUUUGCUUCACUUUGGUAAAUGUUUUGGCUAAAAUAUUUAUUUUCAGGUUUCACCUUUUAUUUUUCAAGAUUGUGGUUUUCUUUUUUU